rnacentral:rRNA from 1 species
GACGAACGCUGGCGGCGUGCUUAACACAUGCAAGUCGAACGGAAAGGCCCUGCUUUUGUGGGGUGCUCGAGUGGCGAACGGGUGAGUAACACGUGAGUAACCUGCCCCUGACUUUGGGAUAACUUCAGGAAACUGGGGCUAAUACCGGAUAGGAGCUCCUGCUGCAUGGUGGGGGUUGGAAAGUUUCGGCGGUUGGGGAUGGACUCGCGGCUUAUCAGCUUGUUGGUGGGGUAGUGGCUUACCAUGGCUUUGACGCGUAGCCGGCCUGAGAGGGUGACCGGCCACACUAGGACGGAGAUGCGACACAGACUACUACGGGAGGCAGCAGUGGGGAAUAUUGCACAAGGGGCGGAAGCCUGGUGCAGCAACGCCGCGUGCGGGAUGACGGCCUUCGGGUUGUAAACCGCUUUCGCCUGUGACGAGACGUGAGUGACGGUAAUGGGUAAAGAAGCACCGGCUAACUACGUG